rnacentral:rRNA from 1 species
CCUACGGGAGGCAGCAGUGAGGAAUAUUGGUCAAUGGACGCAAGUCUGAACCAGCCAUGCCGCGUGCAGGAAGACGGCUCUAUGAGUUGUAAACUGCUUUUGUACGAGGGUAAACGCAGAUACGCGUAUCUGUCUGAAAGUAUCGUACGAAUAAGGAUCGGCUAACUCCGUGCCAGCAGCCGCGGUAAUACGGAGGAUUCAAGCGUUAUCCGGAUUUAUUGGGUUUAAAGGGUGCGUAGGCGGUCGGAUAAGUUAGAGGUGAAAUCCCGAGGCUCAACUUCGGAAUUGCCUCUGAUACUGUUCGGCUAGAGAGUAGUUGCGGUAGGCGGAAUGUAUGGUGUAGCGGGGAAAUGCUUAGAGAUCAGACAGAACACCGAUUGAGAAGGCAGCUUACCAAGCUACUUCUGACGUUGAGGCACGAAAGCGUGGGGAGCAAACAGGAUUAGAUACCCCAGUAGUG